rnacentral:rRNA from 1 species
UACAGAGGGUGCAAGCGUUAUUCGGAAUUAUUGGGCGUAAAGCGCGUGUAGGCGGCUUUGCAAGUCGGGUGUGAAAGCCCUCAGCUCAACUGAGGAAGUGCGCCCGAAACUGCAGAGCUUGAGUGCCGGAGAGGGUGGCGGAAUUCCCCAAGUAGAGGUGAAAUUCGUAGAUAUGGGGAGGAACACCGGUGGCGAAGGCGGCCACCUGGACGGUAACUGACGCUGAGACGCGAAAGCGUGGGGAGCGAACAGG